rnacentral:lncRNA from 1 species
AAAGCUAAAUACAGCAGCCUCAUAAGGCAUGGUCCCAGGAGGUGUAUGAGUGAAAAACAGACAAUCUGUAAACACCUGAAACCUGAUUUUUAGGAUACUAAAACCUCAGGUCCCAAUUGCUGCAAAUUACUACUACUUCAGGUCCAAACUGAGGUUAUGCAGACAUGGAUUAGGAUGUCUAGCUUGCUAUUUGUAUGUGAAAAUAUUGCAUUUGCACCCACAGUAGUAGCAAUUAGGCAGCAAUCUGGCCCUGAGGUGCCAUAAAGAAAUGGAAAUACUACACUCUGGCCCUGCCCUUUCUCUUUCCUCAAUAGUCUAAUCAGAGACUACUCCUGACUCAUUCUCUUGAGCAACUUCCUCUGUGCUUUUUUUGAUCCUGUGGGGUUUUCUUUGUGGAUCCAGAUAACUGUAUUACUUCAAUUAUACACUCUUUGGAGCAGGGAUUGUCUUUCAUUCUGUGUUUAUACAGGGUCUAGGACAGUGGGAUCCCUGCCCAUUUGUAGCUCUGACCCACAGACACUGAUUUUAAAAGUUCUCUGCAGGCUGCAGCCUAGGGCAUUGAGCCACAUAGCAGCUGCAAGGAUUGGGCUGGAGCCAGGGGUCAUUGUCCACGCCCCAGACUAGAACAGGGAUGGAGCCUGCCAGCACAAAGCAAAGAAGAAGCUCCGAACUACAGACAGAAAAAUGAAGUCUGAUUGCGUAUAUAACUUAACAUCUAUUUGAGGACAAAAGUGAAGGAAGGAGAAGGAAUACCAAAAAUCACAGCAAAAGUGACAGCAAUAAAAAAAAUGAUCAAGAACA